rnacentral:snoRNA from 1 species
CCAUUGUGAUGAUUAAUUUUAUGUGUCAACAUGGCUGGGCCACAGAGCCCACAUAAUGUGG